rnacentral:rRNA from 1 species
ACCUACGGGGGGCAGCAGUGAGGAAUAUUGGUCAAUGGCCGAGAGGCUGAACCAGCCAAGUCGCGUGAGGGAAGACGGCCCUCCGGGUUGUAAACUGCUUUUAGUUGGGAAUAAAAGGGGGCUCGUGAGCCCCGUAUUGUAUGUACCAUCAGAAAAAGGACCGGCUAAUUCCGUGCCAGCAGUCGCGGUAAUACGGAAGGUCCGGGCGUUAUCCGGAUUUAUUGGGUUUAAAGGGAGCGUAGGCCGGCUUUUAAGUCAGCUGUGAAAGUCGGCGGCUCAACCGUGGAAUUGCAGUUGAAACUGUG